GACCAAAUGGGGACGGGGAUAGAC
rnacentral:piRNA from 1 species